CUGGGAGUGGUUUGGUGGCAGAGCACCUGCCUGGCAUGCAUGAGGCCCUGGGUUUGAUCCCCAGCACUGAGA
rnacentral:tRNA from 1 species